UACGUAGGGUGCAAGCGUUAAUCGGAAUUACUGGGCGUAAAGCGUGCGCAGGCGGUUAUUCAAGUCAGAUGUGAAAGCCCCGGGCUCAACCUGGGAACUGCGUUUGAAACUGGAUGACUAGAGUCUGUCAGAGGGGGGUGGAAUUCCACGUGUAGCAGUGAAAUGCGUAGAUAUGUGGAGGAACACCGAUGGCGAAGGCAGCCCCCUGGGAUAAGACUGACGCUCAUGCACGAAAGCGUGGGGAGCAAACAGG
rnacentral:rRNA from 1 species